GCCCCUGGCUGGGGGACUGAGGGGUGGGUCUAGGAGCUGCUUUCUGGCCACAAGUGCUCAAGGGGUGGACAGAGUUUGGUUCCGGCUGCAAUGGCUUAAGCUGGGGGGCAGGCCCUGAGAACUGAGGCAAGGGUGAAGAUAUAGGGGCCAGGUGGGAAAAGGUCCAGGGAGGUAGCAGCAAAGAAUUGAAGUGAGCGGAGCGUGGCUGCUGUUUAUAGGGUCCCUGAGUCAGAACCUGGAGCAGGGGAUAGACCUGGGGUUCCCCCACGAGCGAAGUGGUGCAAGCCCUGAUAAUGGGACAAGGCUACCUUGGAAGCCCAAGCAAAGGGCUGAAUUUAAAGGGCCCAGAGCAGGGGCUGAAGACCCUGGUGAGAGCAGACGAGUUUUUUGUUGGAUUCUUUGCUACCCCCAGAAGGGAUUCAUUUUGACUGUGUGACCCAGUUUGAGGACCGAGCCAGUGAAGACCUGCCAAGUAAGGCCAACAACUUACAGGUGGUGCCAGGAGUGGGGAAAGGACCACACAGCAGCAGCAGGGUGUGCUCAAGAGAUAAACCCCACCAGUGGCAUGUUUAUGAACAUUCUCACACUUCAGGAAUACAUGAAGGAGACCAUCCUGGAGCUACUUGACCACAAGAACCUGGAUCAGGAUGUGCCCCAUUUUGCUGAUGUUGUAAGACUGGAGCUAUGUCCUGCAUGAUGAAGCUGUCUUGGCCAAGAGAGUGGAACAUAUCCUGAAAAUAUUUCACCAUGGGGUACGCUGUAUUAACAUCAGUUGCCAGAGAAGGAAUCAUUCCACAGUAGCCAAUAUUCAUAAAAUAGCAGACAGAAAAACUUUCUCUCAAAUCAGUCCUUUAUAUAAAUAAUGACAGAUACUUUGAUGUAUUAUAAAGUAUGAACAAUCUCAUAGUGUCAUGUGAUAACAGACUUUUAUUUUAACCAAAGGGAAAAAAAUACAGGAAAAUGCAUAAAAUAUAUCUCCUGGGGCUAAAUAUUUUCCAAACUUUCCAAAACUGUUCUAUUUUGAAUAUAUAAGUGCAUUAUCAUUUGCAUUUAGAAACCAUUUGCCAAUUUUGGUCAAAAUUAGACUACGUUUCUUUGACUUAUGGCUCUUUUUGUGAUUUUAUGAUUUUUUUUUCAGUUUGGCUGUCCCAGAACAAUCAAACAUUACAUGCUGUAAAAAAACAGCACCACUUCCAACAUCUAUACCCACCCUGAUGAUGACCACCAGCUGUGUCCCUAGCAAUGUGGUAGCAAGGACAUUUUUCUAGCUGAUAGGUUACACUAAGUUGUUAAUAAGACCCUUUUAGAUCUGGCUCGUAGACGAUAGGCAAAACUUGCUGGAGAAAUGAGGCAGGACUGGAAGAGCAGGAGGGCUGCAGGCCAGGACUAACGUGCAUCCACAGAGCUAAAUUAGGGAAACUUUGUCCAACACACGCCUUCACUUUGCUCGACUUUGGACAGCACUGUUAGUCUCCCAUCACAAUCAUAAACACACACAGGUGACCUGAAAGUAAAAGAUAACAUAUGCCCUUCCUGGAUCUCACUUAAUGGCAGGGUUAUAGGAACCCCUGCUUUGUCAUAUGUAAAUCUCUAGGGGCCCAGGGCAUUUACAAUCUCCUUUAAAGUAUUUGUGGGAGAUAUCAACAACUUCAUUAGCAGUCUGAAAAAGGUAUCACAUGUUUUGCAUUCGUCUCUGCAGGGUUCUGAGAAACAGAAAGGCUUUGUGAAUCAUCAAAGGCUUAAUGGCUGUUCUGAUCCUGCCCAGCUAUGUCACAGUGACCUCCCUGGCAGCGAAUGAGAACAAUCCAUUACCCUACUGCAUCAGACUGGCAAGAACUGCAGCUGUAUUGCAAACCCCUUUUCUAGCCACAGUCCACAGUGAAAGGCGCUGGCUGAGCUGCAGCUUCAAAGGAAACAACAUUUGAGAAAAACUCAAUUCAUCUGAUAAGGCCAAUGGGCGCAGAACGCUCUCCCUCUGCAUGGUGCUGACAUGAAUUUGCAGCCAGUUACACCCUAAUGUGGCAGCUUUACUAGGAGCGAAAUACGCCAGGGAGCUCUGAUAAUGGGAGUUUUCUCUCUGCCAAAAUUGAACAAUGGAGGAGAAAAUUCCCUUCUCCCCCUCUCCUAGCCCCUGCUCCUUUGCAGCUGAUAGAGGCCCAGCAGGAAAGCUGAGCAAAAACAGCUCAGGCAGGGGCAUCGUACACAGCUGUGUUCUUGCUCUGCUUAAGCUGUUACAGCUUACAAGGAAGCAGUCUAGGUAUUUUUCAUGACUAUGAAUACCAGGUUUAGCAUAGCUGAUGGGCAUAAAAGGGCCCCUCUCCCUCCACCAGUGUUAAACUGAGGUCAAGGUUAAAUAUUAGAUAAGCCUCAUUAAACCUUUCUAACUCAUUUUGAUUUAUUAUUCCUUUGUGGUACACAUAUUUCUGUGUUUGACUAUCGAACGAUUGCCCCAUCUGACCUCAUUUUGAAACUGUACUUGU